rnacentral:lncRNA from 1 species
CACCUGUACACAGAUGUAUCCCAGAAGUUUUAUUUGGUUUACCAGAAAUGAUUAACUGCAUUCUCCCAGCCACAGAGUGGGGCAUCCUAGUUCUGGGCUAAUGUUUACCUCAGCAGGUGGAUCUAGUCCUGGAAAAAGGACUCCAAGAACAGAAAAACAAUCAGAAAGAAAAGGAAAAAUUAGCUCUCUAGAGAAAAAUGGAAUUUCUCCAAAUGACAAACUUCAUAUUAU